AGUAACGCGUAGGUAACCUACCUCAUAGCGGGGGAUAACUAUUGGAAACGAUAGCUAAUACCGCAUAAGAGAGACUAACGCAUGUUAGUAAUUUAAAAGGGGCAAUUGCUCCACUACCAGAUGGACCUGCGUUGUAUUAGCUAGUUGGUGAGGUAACGGCUCACCAAGGCGACGAUACAUAGCCGACCUGAGAGGGUGAUCGGCCACACUGGGACUGAGACACGGCCCAG
rnacentral:rRNA from 1 species